rnacentral:rRNA from 1 species
UACGAAGGGGGCUAGCGUUGUUCGGAAUUACUGGGCGUGAAGCGUGCGCAGGCGGCUUCUCAAGUCAGGGGUGAAAGCCCAGAGCUCAACUCUGGAAUUGCCUUUGAGACUGAGUGGCUUGAGUACGAGAGAGGUGAGUGGAAUUCCCAGUGUAGAGGUGAAAUUCGUAGAUAUUGGGAAGGAACACCGGUGGCGAAGGCGGCUUGCUGGACCUGGUCUGGACGCUGAGGCGCGAAAGCGUGGGGAGCGAACAGG